UCCUCCCGGGGUGGUUUUUGAGCGAAACUGCGCCUCGCGGGGACGCCCUGCAUCCGUUUCCUUAAAGACGUACCCGCAGCCGGACAGACGGCCGGAGGGGGCGCGGAGCCUGCCCUUUCCCGCGCCCCGGGCCGCUCCCUCGGAGCUGCUUUUCUCGCUUUAUAAGGCCCCGCUUAACAGCGGCCACUGCCAGCGUCGUCGUUAUACUGCAUUUUUAUCAGCAUAGAGGCAAGACUGCAACUCCCUGAAGGCUCAGAUGAUGGUUAGCAUUUUUUGACAAUAAAGUAUUUUUAAAAUAAGCUCUGCACAGCCCAGCCUGGAGUUCUGCGGGCCGCUCGGGGGCCUCCUGGGCCGCAUCUCUGGAUGACAGCUCUCCCCACAGUGCUGCAGACCCUUCCACCCCCAUAAAAAUGCUGAAGUCUCUAGUCUGCUGAACGCCCCACUCUAUAUCUUCGACAUGGUAGGAUGAUUGCUUUUUUUAUUACUUGUAAUAAUUUCAAUGGGAUCACCAGCCGGGAGAGAA